UUAAGGUUAAGGUUAAGGUUAAGGUUUGGGGUAGGGACGUCCCAAGGAUCCCAGAUUGCAAUGACCAGUCAUUUACACAGUGGUUAUUUAAGAUCUCCACUACAUAGCACAGCCACAAAGCUAUAUCAAAGAAAUUGAUGAAAACUAAAAUGAACUUUUUGGUCUUAAUGUAAGGUUAGGCAUAAGGUUAGCAGUGUGGUUAAGGUUGGGUUUUAAAUGACAUUUUAAGAAGAGACAUUGUAGAAAUAUGACUCUGUGGCUGUGGUAACUAGUGACGACCGUCAUUUAACUAACUAGCUAGCUAAAGCUAACAGUAGCUAAUCCAUUUCACGAAACGAACAACAGACAGCAGUAAUACAUGAUUCAGCUGUCUCUGACUUGGUGGCCCUGAUGAUGUAGCGAGCUAACCACACAUCAGUGGAUGGCGGCAUGGAGCCAAAUAACCUUGAUGGCGCUAGGCAGCUAACCAUCCUCCCAGUCUAACAGAGAUUGAUCAAGUCAUGUCAUAGCCAAAUGGACCCUCGUGAAUUCAAGGAAGGCAACAGGUCUCGGAAUGGCAAACGUGGACCCAGCCAGUCCAGCACCCCUCAUCAGAAAGAUGCCUAUGCCGGACUCCUCGGCCAGCAUCACAGUAGAAAGUUCAGAUCCUACCUGGACCAGUAUGCCCAACAGCAGGGGGAAGAGAAUGGGCCAAACGCACAGAGGCAGGGUCUAGCCCACAGCGACAAACAAGACUGCAGAGAAAAAGGGACCAGGCAUUUAUCGAGUGCUCUGACUCAAGUGACUUCUCGCCUUCGCCUAUGAAAGGUAAGGGAGGAGAAGAGAGCUGUCUGUCCUUGUACAUGGACAAGCGGGCGCCACAGGACCCGGAGAGGAAGCAGGGGCUUCCAACAAGCAGCGACGCGGGGAGAGGAGGGACACCGAAACCAGUCAGGACGGAGAUGUGGAGUCCGGUGAGUAGUUGGGCUCUCUCAAUCAGAGGGACUCCCAGCAGCAACACCAGACGACAAAACAAAGACUACAAAGACCAUGCUUCCAACGUGCCCACAGUAACCAAAGAAACAAGGACAUGAGUCAUGGGACGUCUCCCCCAAAAGCUGGUUUAACUGACCCAGCUCAAGAGCAAGAGAAGAAUUCCAAGAAGAAGAAUGUGCCAAAGAACAACGAGGAUAACAAGAGAGAUGGGCCAUUGUAUCCUGACUUCAAUGCAGUCACGUCAAAGUCCCCCUUUAACAAAACCAAAAACGUGCAACCCCAAGGUCCCACUACGCCUUCUGACAAGUGUAAGAAGACUAGAGGACGCUGAGGACGAUCAAAGACAGUGUUUGAAGCGUACAUGACCACAGAGGACAUUUCCCACGUCCUAAAGAGAGGAGAGCUCAUUUAGGAUGGCAUUCGGGAUAUCUUCCUGGAUGGAAUUGUAGGCCAAAACAGGGCCCUAACAGGGAUGUGGUUCAGGUUCUCCCUCAGGAACAGUGGAAGGUAGUGAGAGCAAAUGCAAAGUUGUAGAAACAUCUCAAGGAUGAUCAAUGGAAACAGGAU